UCCGCCCCCUCACGCUCACCAGCCGCUUCCACCUCUGCCCACCCGCUCCACACUGACCGUAGUCCUGCCCUCCGCACUGGUCCUCUCCCCGCAACGACUUGCCCCACCUUUUCUCCUCGUCCGCUGACCCUUGCCCCAACCGAGGGUCCCGGGGUGCUCUGACUCGUCCUCUCCGCAGUGAGGUGCAGUACGUUGUGCUCCAGAACGUGGCCACCAUGUCCAUCAAGCGCCGGGGUAUGUUUGAGCCCUACCUGAAGAGCUUCUACAUCAGGUCUACCGACCCCACCCAGAUCAAGAUCCUGAAGCUGGAAGUGCUGACCAACCUGGCUAAUGAGACCAACAUUCCUACUGUCCUACGGGAAUUCCAGACCUAUAUUCGCAGCAUGGACAAGGACUUCGUGGCAGCCACAAUCCAGGCCAUUGGACGCUGUGCAACUAACAUCGGCCGAGUCCGUGACACCUGCCUCAAUGGCCUGGUGCAGCUGCUGUCCAACCGUGAUGAGCUUGUGGUUGCAGAGUCAGUGGUCGUCAUUAAGAAAUUGCUACAGAUGCAGCCAGCACAACAUGGAGAGAUCAUCAAACACUUGGCAAAGCUUACAGACAACAUCCAGGUGCCCAUGGCCCGAGCCAGCAUCCUGUGGCUCAUCGGAGAGUACUGUGAGCAUGUCCCCAGGAUUGCACCCGAUGUCUUAAGAAAAAUGGCCAAGUCAUUCACAGCAGAGGAGGAUAUUGUCAAGCUGCAGGUCAUCAACCUGGCAGCCAAGCUCUACCUGACCAACUCUAAACAGACCAAGCUGCUGACCCAGUAUGUGCUGAGUCUAGCCAAAUAUGACCAGAACUAUGAUAUUCGCGACCGGGCGCGCUUCACCCGGCAGCUCAUCGUCCCUUCCGAGCAGGGUGGGGCCCUCAGCCGCCAUGCCAAGAAGCUCUUCCUGGCACCCAAACCAGCUCCAGUCUUGGAGUCAUCCUUCAAAGACCGGGACCACUUCCAGCUGGGUUCACUGUCCCACCUGCUCAAUGCCAAGGCCACAGGCUACCAGGAGCUCCCAGACUGGCCGGAGGAAGCCCCAGACCCAUCUGUGCGCAACGUGGAGGUACCUGAAUGGACCAAGUGCUCAAAUCGGGAGAAGAGAAAGGAGAAGGAAAAACCCUUCUACUCAGACUCUGAGGGGGAGUCAGGCCCCACGGAGUCCGCAGACAGUGACCCUGAGUCUGAGAGUGAAUCGGACAGUAAGAGCAGCAGCGAGAGCGGCUCUGGGGAGUCCAGCAGUGAGUCCGACAAUGAAGACCAGGAUGAGGAUGAGGAGAAAGGGAGAGGCAGUGAGAGUGAACAGAGUGAGGAGGAUGAUAAGAGGAAGACAAAGAAGAAGGUGCCAGAGGGAAAAGGAGAAGCGUCAUCCUCUGAUGAGGGCAGCGAUUCCAGCAGUAGCUCAUCAGAGUCCGAGAUGACAUCGGAGUCCGAGGAGGAGCAGUUGGAACCUGCCUCUUGGAGGAGGAAAACACCUCCCAGCAGCAAAAGUGCCCCUGCAACCAAGGAGAUCUCCCUGCUUGAUCUAGAGGACUUCACCCCUCCCAGUGUCCAGCCUGUGUCUCCCCCAGCAAUUGUGUCUACCAGUCUGGCUGCUGACCUGGAGGGCCUGACACUCACAGACUCCACCCUGGUACCGUCGCUUCUGAGUCCAGUGUCGGGUAUUGGGCGGCAGGAGCUGCUGCACCGGGUAGCUGGCGAGGGGCUGGCUGUGGACUACACCUUCAGCCGCCAACCUUUCUCCGGGGACCCCCACAUGGUGUCUGUGCACAUCCACUUCUCCAACAGCUCUGAUACCCCCAUCAAGGGCCUGCAUGUGGGCACUCCCAAACUGCCUGCUGGCAUCAGCAUCCAAGAAUUUCCCGAAAUUGAGUCCCUGGCACCUGGAGAAUCUGCCACUGCUGUAAUGGGCAUUAAUUUCUGUGACUCAACCCAGGCAGCCAACUUCCAGCUGUGCACCCAGACCCGACAGUUCUACGUCUCCAUUCAGCCACCUGUUGGGGAGCUGAUGGCCCCUGUGUUUAUGAGUGAAAAUGAGUUUAAGAAGGAACAGGGAAAGCUGAUGGGCAUGAAUGAGAUCACAGAGAAACUCAUGCUGCCAGACACCUGUCGGAGUGACCACAUUGUGGUGCAGAAAGUGACUGCCACUGCCAACCUGGGUCGUGUUCCUUGUGGGACAUCCGAUGAGUACAGGUUUGCAGGGAGGACACUGACCGGUGGAAGCCUCGUUCUGCUGACCCUGGAUGCCCGGCCAGCUGGAGCUGCCCAGCUGACUGUCAACAGCGAGAAAAUGGUGAUUGGCACCAUGCUGGUAAAGGAUGUGAUACAGGCUCUGACCCAGUGACUUCCAAAUGCUGUGACCUCUUUGGCUCCCAUCUAUACCUCCCCAUGACAUCUGGGCUGUCAGUCCCUCUCAUCUUUCUCUCUCUCUCAUCCUCCUCCUCAUGCCAGAUAGCAUUCAGGGUGCCCUCUCUCCCUCUGGAGGACCAAGCCCUCCCCUAAUGCCCUCCCCAUGCAUUCCUUAGUGAUCUCUGCAGAGGGAGAUGGCAGCCACUCCCUUCAGUCCUCCCAGAUUUCUGUAGCUAUUUAUGUAGCAGGCUCAAUAAAAUGUCUUCUCUCU
rnacentral:sRNA from 1 species